UUGCAAAUCGUAUUUAAUUUUCAAAAAAUUCUCUGAGGCAGGUAUGGUUAUCCCUAUUUUACAGGUAGCAAGUGACAGAGAUGGAUAUGAAACUGUGUCUGCUGACCCUGGAGCCCAUACCCAGCUAAUAGAGACAGUCUGGCAAGGCAGCCAGAGAAAUUCAUACUCAAUGUGGACUUUCUUUCUAUCUGCUGCGAAGGGAUAUUUGUUGCUCUCCAGAAGAUUCUGUUACCUCAAAGUCACCACAGGUGAACUAAAUUGUUCUUUUAUGAGGCCUUCAAAAAUAUUUCGAUGAUAUUGCAAUGGCCUCUUCUGAUCGAAAGACUGGAGAGAGGAAGUUGGGAGAGUGAAGUGAAGGAGAGAUUGAAGCACAAAGCAGAAGUGUUGUGCCUGUGGAAAGGAGCAGCCUUGUGGACGCGGGGCCGCUGUGUGGGUGCGGAUUCCCUUCAUCCGCUGGGGAAUGUUGUUACCAGACGACCUCACUCCCUAGCCUGGUUGGUUAACUGAGAUGUCACUAACCCCCCAAAAAUGAUCACCGAGAGAAUCAGCAACAAGCAGUGUCAUAUUUUUCUGUAGACAAGGAGAAGUCUCCCUAAACACACAGCAUUCCUGUGGGGCCCGCGCCCUCUCUUCCCCGCCGGGUGCAGGCGCUUCCUGGCAGGGCUCCCCGGCGGCAGCUGCUUGGCCACCUGACAGCUGAGGACUUAGCCAGCUGCCACUUGUUUCCGCUACAUCCAGAGGUGACAAGGACAGCAGUUCCCAAGGGCUGAGCGCCAGUGCAGAAACACCAAAGAGAGAAUGAGAGCCACGAUUUGUAGGACAGCUAAGGCAUCCCAGGAACUCUGUCGACACCUCCUGAACAGCACCGGGUUAUUGGUCGUUUGGAUCACUUAUUGAAUUAAUGGAUUCUUGCCUUACCCCACCCAACCCGACAGAUUUUAAGUACCUUGUGCCAUUCAUUUAACACUUUUCUUUAUGCCUGUAUGAAGCCAGUGACACAGAGGAAUGAGAAAUAGUUCUUGUCCCAAAGAAUAUUCUAGGGGUGAAAUCAACACCAUAAGUGAGUAAACAAUACAAUUUGAUGGCAAUUGGCGCAUGAAAUGGUUAGAAUCAGAGGGGAGAAUGGUAAUAAUUGUGUGUUGGACUUCAUAGGGCUUUGAACAGUGAUGGGUAUGGAACCCCGGAUGUCCUAGGGUGGGUGGUGGGCCAGUCAAGCCUUAACAUGAAUGCUGGGAGAGCCCGAGUUUGCACCCUAGCCACUGUAUGAGUUUGCAUGGCCCCAACCUCUUGUCUGUGCUCUCUGACAAAAUGGAGGCAUUGGGCACCCUAAUCUUCUAAUCUCUUCCAUCUAAAAAUGUUGUUUGGGGGAACCUGGGUGGCCCAGUUUGUUAAGCUUCUGCUUCUUUUUAUUAUUUUUAAUGUUUAUUUAACUUUGAGAGACAGAGAGAAACAGUGUGAGUGGGAGAGGGGCAGAGAGACAGAAUCCAAAGCAGGUUCCAGGUUCUGAGCUGUCAGCACAGAGCCUGACUCAGGGCUCGAACUCACCAGCGGUGAGAUCAUGACCUGAGCUAAAGUCAGAAGCUUAACCGACUAAGCCACCCAGGCACUCCUAAGCUUCUGACUCUUGAUUUCAGCUCAGGUCAUGAUCUCAUGGUCAUGAGACUGAGCCCUGCCUCCAGCUCUGAGCCGACAGCAUGGAGCCUACUUGGGAUUCUCUCUCUUCCUCUCCCUCUGCCCCUCCCCUGCUCGCUCAACCUCCCCCCCCCCUUCAAAAAAUAAAACAACAUAAAAUUAAAUAAAUAAAUAAAUA
ensembl:lncRNA